AGGACGAACGCUGGCGGCAUGCCUAACACGUGCAAGUCGAACGGGGGUAGCAAUACCCUAGUGGCGAACGGGUGAGUAACACAUAAGCAAUCUGCCCUUCACAGGGGGGAUAACAGCGGGAAACUGCUGCUAAUACCGCAUAAGACCACAGUACCGCAUGGUACAGGGGUAAAAACGAAUCAGUGGUGAAGGAUGAGCUUAUGUCCCAUUAGCUAGUUGGUGAGAUAACAGCCCACCAGGGCGACGAUGGGGUAGCCGACCUGAGAGGGUGAUCGGCCACACUGGAGCUGAGACACGGUCCAGACUCCUACGGGAGGCAGCAGUGGGGAAUAUUGGGCAAUGGAGGAAACUUCCUUACCCAGCAAUGCCGCGUGAGUGAAGAAGGUCUUCGGAUUGUAAAGCUCUUUGAUUGGGGACGAAGAAAGUGACGGUACCCAAAGAACAAGCCCCGGCUAACUACGUGCCAGCAGCAGC
rnacentral:rRNA from 1 species